rnacentral:rRNA from 1 species
GUCGAGCGGCGGACGGGUGAGUAAUGCCUAGGAAAUUGCCCUGAUGUGGGGGAUAACCAUUGGAAACGAUGGCUAAUACCGCAUGAUGCCUACGGGCCAAAGAGGGGGACCUUCGGGCCUCUCGCGUCAGGAUAUGCCUAGGUGGGAUUAGCUAGUUGGUGAGGUAAGGGCUCACCAAGGCGACGAUCCCUAGCUGGUCUGAGAGGAUGAUCAGCCACACUGGAACUGAGACACGGUCCAGACUCCUACGGGAGGCAGCAGUGGGGAAUAUUGCACAAUGGGCGCAAGCCUGAUGCAGCCAUGCCGCGUGUGUGAAGAAGGCCUUCGGGUUGUAAAGCACUUUCAGUCGUGAGGAAGGUGGUGUAGUUAAUAGCUGCAUUAUUUGACGUUAGCGACAGAAGAAGCACCGGCUAACUCCGUGCCAGCAGCCGCGGUAAUACGGAGGGUGCGAGCGUUAAUCGGAAUUACUGGGCGUAAAGCGCAUGCAGGUGGUUUGUUAAGUCAGAUGUGAAAGCCCGGGGCUCAACCUCGGAAUAGCAUUUGAAACUGGCAGACUAGAGUACUGUAGAGGGGGGUAGAAUUUCAGGUGUAGCGGUGAAAUGCGUAGAGAUCUGAAGGAAUACCGGUGGCGAAGGCGGCCCCCUGGACAGAUACUGACACUCAGAUGCGAAAGAGCGUGGGGAGCAAACAGGAUUAGAUACCCUGGUAGUCCACGCCGUAAACGAUGUCUACUUGGAGGUUGUGGCCUUGAGCCGUGGCUUUCGGAGCUAACGCGUUAAGUAGACCGCCUGGGGAGUACGGUCGCAAGAUUAAAACUCAAAUGAAUUGACGGGGGCCCGCACAAGCGGUGGAGCAUGUGGUUUAAUUCGAUGCAACGCGAAGAACCUUACCUACUCUUGACAUCCAGAGAACUUUCCAGAGAUGGAUUGGUGCCUUCGGGAACUCUGAGACAGGUGCUGCAUGGCUGUCGUCAGCUCGUGUUGUGAAAUGUUGGGUUAAGUCCCGCAACGAGCGCAACCCUUAUCCUUGUUUGCCAGCGAGUAAUGUCGGGAACUCCAGGGAGACUGCCGGUGAUAAACCGGAGGAAGGUGGGGACGACGUCAAGUCAUCAUGGCCCUUACGAGUAGGGCUACACACGUGCUACAAUGGCGCAUACAGAGGGCGGCCAACUUGCGAAAGUGAGCGAAUCCCAAAAAGUGCGUCGUAGUCCGGAUUGGAGUCUGCAACUCGACUCCAUGAAGUCGGAAUCGCUAGUAAUCGUGGAUCAGAAUGCCACGGUGAAUACGUUCCCGGGCCUUGUACACACCGCCCGUCACACCAUGGGAGUGGGCUGCAAAAGAAGUAGGUAGUUUAACCUUCGGGGGGACGCUUACCACUUUGUGGUUC